rnacentral:rRNA from 1 species
GGAAUAUUGGUCAAUGGGCGCAAGCCUGAACCAGCCAAGUAGCGUGCAGGAUGACGGCCCUACGGGUUGUAAACUGCUUUUGCGCGGGAGCAAAGAGGGGCACGUGUGCCCCGUUGCGCGUACCGCGUGAAUAAGCGUCGGCUAAUUCCGUGCCAGCAGCCGCGGUAAUACGGAAGACGCGGGCGUUAUCCGGAUUUAUUGGGUUUAAAGGGAGCGUAGGCGGGUGCGCAAGUCAGCUGUGAAAUGCCGCGGCUCAACCGCGGAGCUGCAGUUGAAACUGCGCGUCUUGAGUCGGCGAGAGGAAGGCGGAAUUCGUGGUGUAGCGGUGAAAUGCAUAGAUAUCACGAAGAACUCCGAUUGCGAAGGCAGCCUUCUGGCGCCGUACUGACGCUGAGGCUCGAAGGUGCGGGUAUCGAACA